AAAUUGAAGAGUUUGAUCAUGGCUCAGAUUGAACGCUGGCGGCAGGCCUAACACAUGCAAGUCGAACGGUAGCACAGAGAGCUUGCUCUCGGGUGACGAGUGGCGGACGGGUGAGUAAUGUCUGGGAAACUGCCUGAUGGAGGGGGAUAACUACUGGAAACGGUGGCUAAUACCGCAUAACGUCGCAAGACCAAAGAGGGGGACCUUCGGGCCUCUUGCCAUCAGAUGUGCCCAGAUGGGAUUAGCUAGUUGGUGAGGUAACGGCUCACCAAGGCGACGAUCCCUAGCUGGUCUGAGAGGAUGACCAGCCACACUGGAACUGAGACACGGUCCAGACUCCUACGGGAGGCAGCAGUGGGGAAUAUUGCACAAUGGGCGCAAGCCUGAUGCAGCCAUGCCGCGUGUAUGAAGAAGGCCUUCGGGUUGUAAAGUACUUUCAGCGGGGAGGAAGGUGUUGUGGUUAAUAACCACAGCAAUUGACGUUACCCGCAGAAGAAGCACCGGCUAACUCCGUGCCAGCAGCCGCGGUAAUACGGAGGGUGCAAGCGUUAAUCGGAAUUACUGGGCGUAAAGCGCACGCAGGCGGUCUGUCAAGUCGGAUGUGAAAUCCCCGGGCUCAACC
rnacentral:rRNA from 1 species